AGCGAACGCUGGCGGCAGGCUUAACACAUGCAAGUCGAGCGGGCAUCCUUGUGGUGUCAGCGGCAGACGGGUGAGUAACGCGUGGGAACGUGCCCUUCGGUUCGGAAUAACUCAGGGAAACUUGAGCUAAUACCGGAUACGUGCGAGAGCAGAAAGGUUUAUCUGCCGAAGGAUCGGCCCGCGUCUGAUUAGCUAGUUGGUGAGGUUAUGGCUCACCAAGGCGACGAUCAGUAGCUGGUCUGAGAGGAUGAACCGCCACACUGGGACUGAGACACGGCCCAGACUCCUACGGGAGGCAGCAGUGGGGAAUAUUGGACAAUGGGGGCAACCCUGAUCCAGCCAUGCCGCGUGAGUGAUGACGGCCUUAGGGUUGUAAAGCUCUUUUCUCCGGGACGAUAAUGACGGUACCGGAGGAAUAAGCCCCGGCUAACUUCGUG
rnacentral:rRNA from 1 species